rnacentral:rRNA from 1 species
CCUACGGGAGGCAGCAGUAGGGAAUUUUGCGCAAUGGGGGAAACCCUGACGCAGCAACACCGCGUGAAUGUUAAGCCCUUCGGGGUGUAUAGUUCUGUCAAUAGGGACGAAUUUUGACUGUACCUAUAAAGGAAGCACCGGCUAACUCCGUGCCAGCAGCCGCGGUAAUACGGGGGGUGCCAGCGUUGUCCGGAAUCAUUGGGCGUAAAGCGUUCCUAGGCGGUAUGUCAAGUCUGAUGUUAAAGCCCGGGGGUCAACUCCGGUUGGGCAUUUGAUACUGGCAAACUUGAAUGUGGGAGAGGUAAAGGGAAUGCCUGGUGUAGCGGGGAAAUGCAUAGAUAUCAGGAAGAACAUCGGUGGCGAAGGCAGUUUACUGGACCAUUAUUGACGCUGAGGCACGAAAGCCAGGGGAGCAAAUGGGAUUAGAUACCCGAGUAGUC